rnacentral:pre_miRNA from 2 species
GGAAACUUGGAAACUACCGUUGGAUCGAGAAAUGGACGUUCGAGAUUCAUCCAUAUCACCAUGAGUUAAAAAUUAACUCCUAGUAAAAUUUUAACUUAUGAGUGAAUCUGCGAGUUAAAUUUUAACUCAUGGUGAUGUGGAUGAAUGUCGGAUGUCCAUUUCUCGAUCCAACGGUAGUUUCCAAGUUUCC